rnacentral:rRNA from 1 species
UACGUAGGGGGCUAGCGUUGUCCGGAAUCAUUGGGCGUAAAGAGCGUGUAGGCGGCUUGGUAAGUCCGCUGUGAAAGUCCAGGGCUCAACCCUGGAAAGCCAGUGGAAACUGUCAAGCUAGAGUCCGGAAGAGGCGAGUGGAACUCCUGGUGUAGCGGUGAAAUGCGCAGAUAUCAGGAAGAACACCAGUGGCGAAGGCGGCUUCCUGGUCUGCAACUGACGCUGUGGCGCGAAAGCUAGGGGAGCAAACGGG